UGCCAGCAGCCGCGGUAAUACGAAGGUCCCAAGCGUUGUUCGGAAUCACUGGGCGUAAAGCGCGUGUAGGCUGCGCGGAAAGUCAGGUGUGAAAUCCCGGAGCUCAACUCCGGAACUGCAUCCGAUACUGCCAGACUAGAGUAAUGGAGAGGCAGGUGGAAUUCUCGGUGUAGCAGUGAAAUGCGUAGAGAUCGAGAGGAAGACCAAUGGCGAAGGCAGCCUGCUGGACAUUUACUGACGCUGAGGUACGAAGGCUAGGGUAGCAAAAGGGAUUAGAUA
rnacentral:rRNA from 1 species